UACUUAGGAAUUCAGUACCCUGAAGUAACAGCAGCUUGUGCGGAGAGGGGAACCACGGGGAGCACCCGUCCACCCAGCAGCCACGGCCUGACAGAGGGGCCUUUUGCCUCCUGCUCCUUUGCAGUAUUUGACAAAUUGUUUAAAUGUCAUUCUUUUUUUGUACCAUAUGACUGAAUAACAGUUACGUAAAACAAAAAUGUCUAUUCCCCUUUUCCCAAAAUAUAAAAUUAAGUUUAACAUACAUGUCAGAGGACUAAGCUGUACCAGUCUGGAGCUAUCUUACACUUAAAAUAUAAAGAUACAGCUGUCUACAGUCUUCUGACUAAACUUACAAAGAUAUACCUGGCAUCUUGGAUGCUGACUAAAAUAAAAAGGAUUUUCUUCUGCCUCUUUAGUUGGAUUGAAUAGCUAAAUAAUUGUAGAGAUACAAAUAAAAAAGGUGUUCCUGUUCUAAUGGCUGCUAAAACCUCUAGCUUUGCUGUUGCGUGAACGACAGUGACCCGUAGCACGUUAAACUGGACGUGGACAGAUAUUCAUAAGCCAUUUGCUGCAGAUCAGCAAGAGACUUCUCCUAAGCUGAGGCAUCACUUUUGUGCUCCUAGGUUCUCGGGCAUAUGAAAUGGCAUACAGUGGCUUGAACCACUGUGAUGAGCACUAAUACCACUUUCCUCAGCUGAAACUGCACAAAACUUUUUUUUUUUUUUUUGAUUAGCAGUUAACUGAAGUGCUUGAAAUAAGGCUAUCAGAAGCAGUAGGCCAGCUGAAAGCAGUAGGACACUGUACAGCCUGUGGAAAGCAGGACUGCAGUGCUGUUGGAAGAUCCAGCUGGUGAAAAACAUCUAACCCCUAAUGCGGUGAAGCUUGCGACUAAUGCUCCCUUAAACCACGUGCCGCCUGCUGAAACAUCAGGCCUUGAGUAUUUCAGGCUGCUGCUUCAUAAUCACGUUGUCGGGCAGACCACCAGGCUUGAUCUGCUUGUUUGGACCCUGUACAAAAGAUGGAGAUGGGAAAUCCUCAUUGCCCGGGAGGAUGAACGUCAGUUCUUUGCAAAUAUCAUCCCAGAAUAGCAGCCAGAGCUGCAGAAACAAGACCAUCAGAACUCACCCAGCACCUUGCAGUGGAUGUUGUCCAGACUGGAGAGGUGGAUCAAGCAGUACUGUACCACAUGGGGAUUGUACAUGGAGGAAAAGUAAGAUGGCUUCUGCAUGUAAGGCCUUACGCAGGUGAUAGUGAUUUGUGUACUGAUGUACUACUGUCAGCUGCAUGUGAGAGGACAGCAAGUAGGUUGCACUCAAUGAAGUGAAGGUUUGCAGUACAGCUUUGAACUACAUGUUUCAGAAGGAUGUUUGGCCCUAACCUAAUGCAAAAUAGACCCCCCAAGUCAGAGGUGAGGAGCCUCAGCACUAGACAUUUCGGUCUGCUGCUCUGUUUGUGUUGCACCAAAUUAAUUACUAGCAUAGAUGGUCCCACCACCUUUGGAAUUCCAGAACUUCCUGGACUGUGGCAUCUUCCUAGUAAACGUGGAGAUGGAAGACCUUACUACAAAUCUAUCUGGAAGCACAGGGAUGAGGGAUAGUGCAAGUCUGAGGGGAAAAAAAGCCCCUGUUCUCACUAUAGGGAUCAUUCUGAGAGAGAGGAGGCUAGCUGCAGCCACCAUUUUAUCACUUGGUGUUUGCUCACUGUGACUCUAAAACGAUGGAGAACAUGCAGGUAAAUGGGGCAGCUGGGCAGCGCAGGAUGCACUGCUGUGUGAAAAGGCAGCUGAAGACCCCAAAAUAAUUCGGAGCAGAUUGGAUAACACAAAUAUUACUGUGACUACUGAUUCCAACAGGAGUGAAAAUGUCAGAGGUGUUCAGCUGUGUUCAUGGAUUGUGUUGAUAUGGUCCAAUUUACAGCAGAAAUAGGUCUUUGGAGGAAUGUGCCUUUGCAGUGUAAGAAUUGUACUUCCAGCUUCUGUUUUCUAUACUUUGACUGCACAAUAAAUCGUUUUUUUCUUA